AUUGAACGCUGGCGGCAUGCCUUACACAUGCAAGUCGAACGGUAACAGGUCUUCGGAUGCUGACGAGUGGCGAACGGGUGAGUAAUACAUCGGAACGUGCCUAGUAGUGGGGGAUAACUACUCGAAAGAGUGGCUAAUACCGCAUGAGAUCUACGGAUGAAAGCAGGGGAUCGCAAGACCUUGUGCUACUAGAGCGGCCGAUGGCAGAUUAGGUAGUUGGUGGGAUAAAAGCUUACCAAGCCGACGAUCUGUAACUGGUCUGAGAGAACGAUCAGCCACACUGGGACUGAGACACGGCCCAGACUCCUACGGGAGGCAGCAGUGGGGAAUUUUGGACAAUGGGCGAAAGCCUGAUCCAGCAAUGCCGCGUGCAGGAUGAAGGCCUUCGGGUUGUAAACUGCUUUUGUACGGAACGAAAAGCCCCGGGUUAAUACCCUGGGGUCAUGACGGUACCGUAAGAAUAAGCACCGGCUAACUACGUGCCAGCCGCCGCGGUAA
rnacentral:rRNA from 1 species